rnacentral:ncRNA from 20 species
AAGCGGUGAGGUGGGAAAGGUUCCUCAUGCGCCCUCUGGGUUAAAAGAGAUGCAGGAUACGCCGCCCUGCCAUUU